UACGUAGGGGGCAAGCGUUGUCCGGAAUCAUUGGGCGUAAAGAGCGUGUAGGCGGUCCUGUAAGUCCGCUGUGAAAGUCAAGGGCUCAACCCUUGAAUGCCGGUGGAUACUGCAGGACUAGAGUCCGGAAGAGGCGAGUGGAAUUCCUGGUGUAGCGGUGAAAUGCGCAGAUAUCAGGAGGAACACCGGUGGCGAAGGCGGCAUCCUGGACCGGUAUUGACGCUGAGGCGCGAAAGCUAGGGGAGCAAACGGG
rnacentral:rRNA from 1 species